CCCUUAGAUGUUCUGGGCGGCCCGCGCACUACAAUGGCGCUUUCAGCGAGUUCCUAUGUUGAAUUUUCCUGGGUAUUCUUGGAAGCGGCGUCUUGACUUGGGAUAGAUCCUUGUAAUUGUUGGUUUUGAACGAGGAAUUCCUUGUAAUCGCGGUUGAUCAGCUCGCGUUGAAUACGUCCCUGCCCUUUGUACACACCGCCCGUCGCUCCUACCGAUGAAUCGUCCGGUGAAGUUCACAGAGUGGCGGUUCGUGGAGUUGCUCGCGAAGUGAAAUGGACCUCACGAUUUAGAGGAAGGAGAAGGCGUAACA
rnacentral:rRNA from 1 species